CCCGACUGCUAUCGGAUUGAGAUUUAGCCAUGCGAGUCGAACGUCCCUCUGUUGCGGGGGGCGUGGCGUACGGNUCAGUAACACGUAGUCAACCUGCCCUGGAGACGCGAACAACCCCGGGAAACUGGGAUUAAUUCGUGAUAGGUCACCUCAUCUGGAAGGAGAGAUGGCUCAAAGGGGUGCGCGGGCUUCUUCCGCGUAUUUGCUCCAGGAUGGGACUGCGUCCGAUCAGGCUGUUGGCGGGGUAAUGGCCCACCAAACCUGUAACCGGUACGGGCCUUGAGAGAGGUGGCCCGGAGAUGGACACUGAGAGAAGGGUCCAGGUCCUACGGGGCGCAGCAGGCGCGAAACCUUCGCAAUGCGCGAAAGCGUGACGAGGUUAAUCCGAGUGACCCCCGCUGAGGGGGUCUUUUGUCAGCUGUAAAUAGGCAGGCGAAUAAGGGGAGGGCAAGCCUGGUGUCAGCCGCCGCGGUAAUACCAGCUCCUCGAGUGGUCGGGGCGAUUAUUGGGCCUAAAGCAUCCGUAGCCGGUUCCGUAGGUCCUCUGUUAAAUCCAACCGCUUAACGGUUGACCUGCAGAGGAUACCGCGGGACUAGGAGGCGGGAGAGGCGGACGGUACUCCGCGUGUAGGGGUAAAAUCCUUUGAUCCGCGGAAGACCACCAG
rnacentral:rRNA from 1 species